GAUGAACGCUGGCGGCGUGCCUAACACAUGCAAGUCGAACGGACAGGCCCUGCUUUUGUGGCGUGCUCGUGUGGCGAAGGGGUGAGAAAAACGCGUGUAACCCGCCCUUGUAAUAGGGAUAACUUCAGGAAAAUGGGGCUAAUAUCGGAUAGGAGCUCCUGCAGCACGGUGGGGGAAGGAAAGAGUCGGUGGUUGUGGAUGGACUCGCGGGUUAUCAGCUUGUUGGUGUGGUAGUUGAUGACCAAGGUUUUGACGGGUAGCCGGCCUGAGAGGGUGACCGGCCACAAUGGGACUGAGAUACGGCCCAGACUCCUACGGGAGGCAGCAGUGGGGAAUAUUGCACAAUGGGCGGAAGCCUGAUGCAGCAACGCCGCGUGCGUGAUGACGGCCUUCGGGUUGUAAACCGCUUUCGCCUGUGACGAAGCGUGAGUGACGGUAAUGGGUAAAGAAGCACCGGCUAACUACGUG
rnacentral:rRNA from 1 species